GAGCCCUUAGCAUCAUUUUCUAUAUGUAGAAGAUACUCUAUGAAAGUGAAAUGAAGACAUGAAUUAAGUACAUAUUUGAAGAUAUAUGAAGUCUAAAAGUAAGACCUGCAGUAAUUUUCCUUAAGGGAUACAGACUUGAGAAAUAUGCCAAGUCAUCCUUAGAAGAUGAGCUGAUAGCAGUGAUGGUCCAUCUUCUGCCUAUCAUUCUUCUUAAUGUCCUAAUCACACUGUCUGGGCUAUUUUCACGCAACAAAUUCUGCUUCUGCUGUUAUAUUUUUAUUCAGACAAAUGCCUGACUCAAUACAAUAUAUAUCUAAAUGAGAUACAUUUUCAUCAAAGAAAUGAAAUGAAUUAAC